rnacentral:tRNA from 1 species
GGAGAGUUGGCUGAGUGGCCUAAGGCGCACGAUUGGAAAUCGUGUAGGCGUUAAUAGCGCCUCCAGGGUUCAAAUCCCUGACUCUCCGCCA